UGCCGCCGGCGCGGGUAUACCGGGGGGCCCAGCGUUUUUCGGAUUCAUUGGGUUUAAAGGGUUCGUAGGCGGAUAGAUAAGUCAGUGGUGAAAGCCCGAAGCUCAACUUCGGAACUGCCAUUGAUACUGUUUAUCUUGAAUUUGGUUGAAGUGGGCGGAAUAUGACAUGUAGCGGUGAAAUGCAUAGAUAUGUCAUGGAACACCAAUAGUGAAGACAGCUCACUAAGCCAACAUUGACGCUGAUGAACGAAAGCAUGGGUAGCGAACAGGAUUAGAUA
rnacentral:rRNA from 1 species